rnacentral:miRNA from 1 species
UGGGUUGAGGCUUUGGGGCAGGA